AAAAUGCCCAAAAAAGGCAGUCUAUGGAACCAGAACAUUAAAUCUUUAUCUCCCACUGUUUUACAUGACAUUCUGAUAUGGAAUACCAACAACAAAAAUCACAAAACCACAACAGAUCUGCAGAUCUGAUAGAGAUGGGUUCUUUCUGGUAAAAGAGAAAGAAGAACAUAUUUAUACAACUGCUGCUCCCCAACAGAUCAUACCAAUCCAUGUGCAAGCAACUUACACAUGCUCCUCUGAAGAAAACAGUAAGAGAAGCCAUAUCCUCUAGCAGCAAUCUCAGCUCAUCUGCUUUCCCAGCUCUUUCUAAGAACACCUACUGGAGUCCCAUCUGAAGAACAGAAACUGGACAGCAGCAGCAAGGAUUGAAAAUAGGCAAGGCCCGGAAGAUGGGAACAAAAGGAAUUCCUUUUGAGAUCCAAAAGCCAGAAGUUGUCACUCCAAAAGGAGCUGACUUGACCACUUUGGACUUAUUUAUAAGUUUGUACUGCCAUCGGAAAGUUUCUCCAUUAUUUCCAUCGUCCCAGUCAUUGUCGCUAUCGUCAUUGUCAACCGAGCAACAACACCCAACAACCCACCACUACUGAAGAUCACCUACAAGCAGUGCUGGAAUCUGUGGUGGUAACUAUCUCCCUCUUGCUUCCUGCAGAGACUCCUUGCUUUUAUUUCCUAUCUUUUCUAUUGCCCAUCUUUCCUUCCCCAUCUCCCUAAAUGACUAG
rnacentral:lncRNA from 1 species